rnacentral:lncRNA from 10 species
ACCCCACCCCCAGAACCAGCGGCAGGCUGGCAGCCCCUCUUCCUGUGAUCCAUCUUUCAGAGAUGUGUGCGGCUUGGCCUUGAUGACCCCAUGGUCUAUUUCCAUCUCGAGAAAAGAUGAUUUUCCCUGUCGGUAAGGCUAGGACCCUGCCCUUGGAAACAGUGGGGCCUAUUAUGCCCAUGAGGAGCAACUGAGUUAGCAAUUGAGUUAGGGACUUCUCUGAGCAUGUUACAAAGACCAGAAUCUCCCUCUGCUGGUGCUGGCUUUUGGGGACGUGCAGGCAAAUCAUGAAAUCUGACUCCCAUUUUCAUGCUCCUGCCUUCUCUUAGGGGCUUACCUUGGAGAAUGGCACCACCGUCUCAUCAGUUACUCAAGCCAUGAACCUGCUGCCAUAUUUGAGUCUUUCCCCUCCCUCGGAGCCUACAUCCGACUGCUCAGUGGUGUCUCGUGUCGUCCUUAUUUUGUCACUUGACAAGCAUUGGCUGAGUCCCUGCUGUGUGCCCUGCACUGCACUGGACAUUCAGAGUACAACACAGUCCCUAUAAUCAGGCUCUUGCAAUCCCGAGGGAUCAAGAUGCAAAGAUCGUUGAGUCCAUCAGCCCUACACCCUGCAUCUCCUGCUAUGGGAGCAGAGUGGGAAGGACACCAAGGCUUACAGAGGCUGUGCGCAAUCACGUGGCGUCAGCAGCAGAGCCCCGUGCCCAGGCACCUGGAAAUUGCAUCCAUCCCUGGACUGUGGUGGGUCCAUGGGGCUCAGGGUGGGGAUGGGGCUCCUUCCCGGACUUCACAGGGGUGGGCUCAGCCACCCCCGUGGGCUGUUUCAGCUCCAGCAUUCUCUGGGCCAAGAUUAAACGUUAAUUUGUAAUGGGGUCUGCUGAAGGUAUCUUCGGUUGCAGCCUCGAGGCAGAUUACUCCGGAAUCUCAGUGGAAUGAAUCAGAGGCCUGCUUUUGGCAGUAAGCAUCUGAAGCUUAACCAGGGAAAGAUGACAAUUUAUGCUGCGUCGAAGAGGACGAUAGCUUUCUUGUUUUACUGCCAGAAGAACACCAUGGGGUAGGGAUCUGAAGAUGGAAAACCAACGCUGUGUCGGCUGGAAAACUUUUGUUUUUAUUUAUGAGACUGAUUUGUAUAUGUUAAGGCCAAUUGGUAGAAAUUGGCCCAUUUGCAAAUUGGCAGACAGAGAAAAAUCUUGAUUUAGGACUAAAAGCAACGAAGCUAAGACAAUAAAAAGAGAAUCAUGUUCAUUAAGUUAAAAAAGCAGACUCCUAUUCAAGCUUUUUUUCCCUUAAAUUCUUAACUUCUCUAAUUGCAAAUGAGUUUGAGAUAGUUUACAGAGACGCAAUAUAAUAGGAUAAAAAUAAAUAGAUUAAGAAAUCAGGACAAAGGGAAAAUAAAGAAAGGAUAAUAGAAUAAAGCCAGAG